UGAUGUCUUGCUUUGUGCAAAAUUAAACUAAUCUUAAUAUUUGGAAAAAAUAACUCAAGUAAAUUCAAAAUUCACUUAAAAAAAAAAAGUCCAAAUCUAUUAAAAAAUUUUGAUUAUCUGAAACAUUUUAAUGUGACAAAUAUGGAAGGAAAUAAGAAAUCAGACAAAUACUUUUCAUAACAUAUUGCAACCUUUUGCAUUGUUGAGCUUACUACAAAACAAAUAAAUAGCUGGUCUGUUCUCUGGGUGUGUCCUUGACACAUGUAGUCACUAUGUAGCCAUUGAGCAAUACAAUUACAAUCCCUUCAUUCAGGCUUCUCUGGCACAGUAUCUCAGACACUGCCUGAUAUUUUCUUAAACUUGGUAACUACCAGGUGGCUACAACUGGUCCAAGGAGACCUGUUAGAGAAGCUAGGAGAAGCUCUGGACAUGAUUCAGCACACAAAUGGCCUGAGGAUAAAAACUCCUCUUGAGCCUCUCUGUUUUUGUUCGGAACCUUCUGCCCGAUUUCAGAAGCUGGAAGAGUUUGUUGCUGGGAUGGGAAUGGGUCCUUCAAAAUCUGAGUUAUUCUAGUCCAGCAUCUCCUGAUGUAAAUGUCCUGUAGGGAAGGGAGAGCAGUCCUGCAGCAGUGUUCUGCCGUACGGAUACUCUCUGAAGUGCUUUUUUAGCCUUGACACAGCUGUUUCCAUACCAGGAUGUGAUGUUCUGUGUGAGGAUGCUCUUCUCACACAGAACCUGUGUGAGGAUUUUCUAUACAGUGCCUGUAUAGAAAAUCCUGAGGAUCUUUGGAGAGACCCUGAACUUCCUCAGUUGUCGUAUGUGGUACAGGUGCUGCAUAGCCUUUUGGUCUGGACCUGAAUGUGGGCAGACCAUGCCAGGUCUAAGGAGAUGUGGACACUAAGGUACUUGAAGAACUGCACCCUCUCCACUAGAGCUCCAUUAAUGAUAAUGGGCUUGUGGUCUCUGUGCUGACUCCUUCUGAAGUCCACCACCAGCUCCUUGGUCUUGCCGACGUUCAGCUGGAGGUGGUUGUUCUAGCACCACGAUGCCAGAUUCUUCACUUCAUCAAUGUAGGCCACCUCAUCGUUAUUGGAGAUGGUGCCCAACACCACUGUGUCGUCAGCAAACUUCACAAUGGUAUUGGCCACACAGUCUGAAGUGUAGAGGGAGUAGAGCAGUUGCGAGAGGACACAUCCCUGUGGCGCUCCUGUGCUGAUGGUGAGGCUGUCGGAGAUGCACCUACCCACCCUCACCACCUGAGUUCUGCCAUUGAGGAAGUCCAACACCCAUGCACAUAGACGGCUGUUGAGUCCCAGAUCCCUCAGCUUUGUGAACAAUCUACCGGGCAAUAUUGUGUUGAACGCUGAGCUGUAAUUAAAAAAAAGGCAUUCACACAUAGUUAGCCUGUUUCUUGUCCACGUGGCUAAGGGUGGUGUGCAGGAUGUCUGCGAUGGCGUUCUCCGUGGAUCUGUUGAGUCGGUAGGCAAACUGGAGCGGACCUGUGGUGUCUGGGAUUGAAGAGGAGAUGGUUUUCUUCAACAGCCUCUCGAACACCUUCAUAACCAUCGAGGUCAGUGCAACUGGCCGGUAGUCAUUCAGAUGAUGGUAGCAGACGGCCGGUGAUGCCGUCUGGUCCCGCCGCUUUCCUUGUGCUCACUCUCCUCAGCGCUGUUCGGAUGUCGUGCUCUGCGAUGCUGAUCGCCGGUCCCUCUCUGAUGACGUCACUGUCCUCAGUUGUCAGGCAGUUGUUAGAAUUAGCCGCCUGGCUAACCUCGAAACGGGCGUAGAACUGGUACAGCUCAUUGGAGAAUGCAGAGUCGGCAUUGGUCGGCGCAGUGUCCCUGGCUUUGUAAUCCAUGAUUGUGCGUAGUACGUGCCAAAUGCUCCAUGUGUCGCCCCGGCUGAAGUGAGACUCCACUCGCUCCCGAUAUCGGCAUUUGGCAUCCCUCACCGCGCAUCACACGCCGUAUGAGGCCGCUUUCAUCACAACAUCACAACAUACAUCUGAAUCUUAUUGUUUAGCUGUUUUGUUUGUUUGUUUUAUUAACAUGCAAUUGCAGGAAAAGUGUUGUUAACUGUUCUGAUAAUUAGUUGUUGUAUUGUGUACCCAGUCACAAACUAUGUCUAUAUAGAGGUGAUAUUAAUAUAUUUAUAGUAUCAUGAUAUGCAGUCACAGUCAGUUGUGCUUAAUUUAAUUUUCUAUCUUGUUGUGGGCUAUAAAUAUAAUGAAUGAUACUUAAACAUAAAUACAAGUGAUUCUGUUUUUUGUUUUGUUUUUUCAAUAUAUUAUUUUGUCAAACAUUUUUUGGAAGUUAAGCACCAGUGUUGGACAAGUUACUUGAAAAAAGUAAUCAGUAAGUAAUUACUGAUUACUUCCCCCAAAAGGUAAUCCCGUUAUUUUACUGAUUACUUAUUUUCAAAAGUAAUGAAUUACUUAGUUACUUAGUUACUUUUUUAAAACAUGAUUUACAACCUGAAUAGGUAAUAAAGUGAUAGAUCUUUCAGCCCAAUUCUACUUUUUCUGCAUAAUCCAUUGGUGCUUUCGAGUUCACUCAUGGAUUUGCUCUUUCAUAUUCAUAGAACGCAUUCACUUGCUAUUACACACUAGACAUGGGGAGGAUUGACUGGUAGAUAUCGAAUAAAUUUUGGUUUUUGUACCUUUGUCCUCUAAGCUGUAUGACAUCAUUUCACUGAGUAAAUGUUCUGGGUGCAUUGCAUUGGCUGAUAAUAAUCUUUGUUCAUCACCUGAUCUAACCUGAUUUUAAGUCCCUACAUUCCUCCUUAUUGCAUUAAAAAGUGUAGCAAACUAGAAAUUUAGUGAAACAAAGACAGCCAUUCUUUCAAUCUUUCAGUGUUUCUCAUGUUCAGACUGACUGCCUUAGUCAGCCUCAAACAGGAAACAGUUUCCUGUUUGAGGCUGAAUAGCAGAGAAAGUGGCAGAGCAUCUCAGCUUGUCUUUUCUCAAGUCACUUUAGAUUUCUCAAGUCAUCUAAAGUGACUUGAGAAAAGAAACAGACUGGGACAUCACAAACACAGUGAAGCAGCAUCUGUCUAGCCAGGUACGGUUCUUGUAAGAUUUAAAGAUUGAACUUCCUUUCUGAAGAUCUAAAGCUGUAUUACAAAUGUAAAGCUAAGUUUUGUGCUUUGUUCAACCUGGAAGAACUUGAGGAUUCUAGUGUAGAAAAAUCAACUGUAGUGCUAUACACUUCCUCAGUAACUGAUUUUGUGUCACAGUGUAUCAUGACCUGUAUUAUAAAUACAAUGUUACAGCUGCUGUGUUUCAAAGAUGACUUAUCGGAUGCUGUAAAGUGACUGCUGUCUUCAUGGCGGCCGCUCAUCUGCUGAGUUUGAUGACUGGCCCUCGGGAGAUGAGACACCUGGGUCUCAUUAAGAUGAUCAGCAUCUAAGCCAGGAGGUGACUGCUGUUCGUUGCUGGAUCGUUGUCUACCAUGAAUUAGUGAAGCCAAGCUACAGCAAGUCAAAGUUUUCCCCCAACAGCGUGCUUUUCCCCUGGACUUCCCUGGAG
ensembl:lncRNA